CGCUGGCUCCCUUCUCGACGCUCCAGUCGCUGUUUCUGCUGUGGUUCACUGUCGUGGUGGGACUUGCGACCCCUUGUGGCCGCUUAAGACAUCGCUUCCGCACACGGACCAGAACAUUCUGUCGUAGGCAGCCUCCAUCUCACCCAGUGAGAUCUUGGAUGGACUCCAGAGCCCCUGCGACCCUAAAGUGGAUUAAGUGGAGACAGAGGAUGGACAGAUGGAUCGAUGCGUAAAUGACUUGCACUGUAAAAGGCUUAUUUAAAAAGAAGCAGCAGGUAGCAGGCUGCUUGUAAAUGAAACAAAGCCGCGGAUGAUUGGACAGCAUGGCGAGGUGGUGGUUUCCACUAUUGCCUCACACAAGCCUGGUUUGAAUCCAACUCUGGGGGCUCUGUUUUUCCUCAAUGUUAAUGGUUUUUCUGCAGGGACUCCACACUGACCUAAAACUAUGGUUAUGAUUGAGAAUAAGGCUUUAUGGUUGUCUGUGAGAGCCAAUUAUGAGAUGGAGACCUUCCAAGGUUCUUACUUUUUACCUGGUGAGUGUGGAAUUGAAUCCAGCAGGCUGUUCUAAACAGAAAAGUUAUAACUUUUAGCAGUGAAGACAUAAUCUUUGAUAGAAAUCCAAAUUUUUGAAGCAAUAUCCAAGACAAAAAUGCAUCAGUUACAUUUUUCACUUUAAAUUCGUAAUAAAAAUGUUCUUAAUGAAAACAAACGUGGAAUACUUCAGCCCACUCCUGCUCUUUACUGACUUCCUGGUGGCUAAAUAAAGUGAAGGUCUGAAUCACGUCUGCAGGAAACUGGAUGUGUUCUCAGACGCCGGACCUAUAAAUAGAGUCAGACAUAACUAAAUAUGUGGAAUGGAGCUUGUGUUUGCCUUAAGCUCUGUUUUGUUCAGUGUUUGAUUAUUAUUAUCGUCACAGGUUUCAAAGUUUGUUUGCUUCUGAAAAAGUUGCAGUCCAAAUGUCAGGUUUUUUUUUUUUUUUUUACUGCACCGACGAUACAGCUAAAAUACAAUUCUCCAGAUAUUUCCUCAGAGAUGGAAGGGAGCUGUAGGCAGCAGAGUGAGUGCAGGGUUGGGUUUCUUGAUGAAAGGUGGAAACUGCAUUUUAAGGCCAUAAUUACUGCAUGAAUACAAUGAGUAAUCAAAAUGCUACUGCAGUUGUCUAGCCAGUGGUAUAUUUGAGGGAAGAGUAAGGUCCUCGUGGAUCUUAAUUACAUGCUGCAAGUUCGCUCCGGAUUGCUGCUUUUUGCGUAUCUUCUUUUCAUGGUAGUUGGACUAAAAAUAAAAUAAAUGUAGCUGAGGGGUAUGUCUUGACUUUUCUAAAAGCUACAUUUUACUAACACUUCUGUUAAUAUUAGAAUGUUUUUUAUCGUCUACAGAAAGGCUACUUUACAAACCUGAUUUUGUUCUUAAAAUAAUUUGGGGAACUCCAUUCUGCCAUAAUAGAAAUGUCUGCAUCAUAAACAAACAUCAUAAGGUAAAAAAUGUUGUUUUUCUAAAUUUUAUUAAAGAUUAAACAGUUGCUUCAAUGACACUUGAGGAAACAAAAUGCAUCCACAUCUCUGUAAACAUUUAUUUUGACACCUUUUUGACUGAAGUUUGAGCGAGCCUGUCCACAAUAGAAAAGUGUUUGUUUUUGGUGUUUACCACAUUAUUAUCCAAGCUUAUUAAAGGCAAUUUUUGUCUCAAAAACACUGAAUCAGAGCGCCACGCAUUGGUAGAAGAAAAGCUCUUAAUAGGUGCUUGUCACAGAGCAGUCCACUGCAUAUAUAAAAGGAUGACACGAGGCUUGAGGUUAAGGCUGUAAUCACUGAAGUCAAGAUUUCAUGCAGGAACCACACACAAAAAUAAACUUUGAACUUGACCUGAAAAUUGUGAGAAAGAUUGAAAAAAAAAUCUUCAUAAAAUAUUUUUUUCCCAAAACAUUGACCAUGUUGAAAUGUUAAUUUUACUCCAAGAUCUCAGAAUAUCCAUCCGUUUAUUUUCUUCUCCUGCUGAAUCCCAUUUGGGAUCAUGGGGUUGCUGGAGCCAACCCUUCUACAUUUAGGUGAAGGCAGAGUACACGCUUAUCGCAAGCCAAAAGGCCCAAUAAUCGCCAGGAAAAUUAGUAAAAAAACUGCGUUUUGGCCAUGAGAAACACUGGUUUUAAGCUUGUUUUAAAAAUAGCAUGUAAAUUACACCGUCUUGUGUUGUCCCCAAACAUGCAAAAAAUAACUGCAUUUUAUUCAUUUUUUUCAUUUUAUUUUAUGCAAAUCGCACAUCAAAAGCAGCAUUUUAGAGCAUUUUGGUGCCACACAUAUACGUUAAAAAUAUUUUGGUUGAUAAACUGUGAAAUAUACCAAAGCUUUCUCUGUCUCUCAAAACAUAAAGAAGCUAAGGCCACUUUUUCUUGCACAAUGUCCAAUAUCUCAACAUGGAAGACUGUUGGCUGUUGAUGCUGAGGAUGUGGGAUUGAAUUCCGGGCAUAGCAACAGUUUUUCAUUUUAUUUUUUUCUUCUGCUGAUAUAUAGUGACAUAAUUAUUUUUAAGCAAGUUCAAUGUGAGAGGAAGCCUGAGUUCCAGGAGCAAACGGCCCUCGUGCACAGGAAAAACAUACAAACUCAACACAGCCUGGAUUCAAUGGAGCCUG